rnacentral:rRNA from 1 species
AUUACGUCCCUGCCCUUUGUACACACCGCUCGUCGCUACUACCGAUUGAAUGGCUUAGUGAGACUUUCGGAUGUGUUUGGAGCCGCUGGCAACAGUGACACCUUGCGCAGAAGUUAUUCAAACUUGGUCAUUUAGAGGAAGUAAAAGGUCGUAACAAGGUUUCCGUAGGUGAACCUGCGGAAGGAUCAUUA